rnacentral:rRNA from 1 species
AACGAACGCUGGCGGCAUGCCUAACACAUGCAAGUCGAACGAGACCUUCGGGUCUAGUGGCGCACGGGUGCGUAACGCGUGGGAACCUGCCCUUAGGUUCGGAAUAACUCCCCGAAAGGGGUGCUAAUACCGGAUAAUGUCUUCGGACCAAAGAUUUAUCGCCCUUGGAUGGGCCCACGUUGGAUUAGCUAGUUGGUAGGGUAAAAGCCUACCAAGGCGACGAUCCAUAGCUGGUCUGAGAGGAUGAUCAGCCACACUGGGACUGAGACACGGCCCAGACUCCUACGGGAGGCAGCAGUGGGGAAUAUUGGACAAUGGGCGAAAGCCUGAUCCAGCAAUGCCGCGUGAGUGAUGAAGGCCUUAGGGUUGUAAAGCUCUUUUACCCGGGAUGAUAAUGACAGUACCGGGAGAAUAAGCUCCGGCUAACUCCGUG